rnacentral:rRNA from 1 species
UACGUAGGGGGCAAGCGUUGUCCGGAUUUAUUGGGCGUAAAGAGCUCGUAGGCGGCUCAGUAAGUCGGGUGUGAAACCCUCAGGCUCAACCUGGGGACGCCACCCGAUACUGCUGUGGCUAGAGUCCAGUAGGGGAGUGUGGAAUUCCCGGUGUGAGCGGUGAAAUGCGCAGAUAUCGGGAGGAACACCAGCGGCGAAGGCGGCACUCUGGGCUGGAACUGACGCUGAGGAGCGAAAGCGUGGGUAGCAACAGG